AUCUGCCGACAAAAUUCUCAAACCUGAUAUUCCAUACACAUACACAUAUAUCACCUGAAUAACAAUAAUAUUUAGAAAAUAAGAAACACAAUCACAGAAGUCGAUCUGUCAAAGAAAGUCGCCGAUAGGUACCUCAAGCGCGAAGUGCUCGGUGAAGGUACAUACGGUGUCGUUUACAAAGCUAUUGAUACGAAGACAGGACAGACAGUUGCAAUCAAGAAAAUUGGGCUUGGAAAGCAAAAGGAGGGAGUGAAUUUUACUGCACUAAGAGAAAUAAAGCUGCUAAAAGAACUGAAAGAUCCAAACAUUAUUGAGUUAAAGUAAGAAAUUGUCUUCUAAAGAACAAGUUUGAAUAGAUAAACACAGACACAGAGAGAAGGGAGGGACUACUGUGUUCUAAAUCAUACCGCUACUGAUAGGAUUGCAGGCUCCAUCUUGGAUAGCUGGGUUUUUGGAGACACUUGGUGGUACAGAGUCUCCUGGCAGAACUUGGAUGUUGAUCUUCACUGCCGAAAAGCAAUUAAAGGGUGGUCGCUACUUUCCUAUUACAGCCGUUCAGAGGUUUGACGCUGCUGUAAGCAUCUCUUGUCCUUUUUAACUGAUUCAGAUUGGUUUUCCAUUGUGCAGAAGCACCGGAACCUUCUUGUGAACAGG